rnacentral:misc_RNA from 1 species
AACGCACAUUGCGCCCGCCAGUAUUCUGGCGGGCAUGCCUGUUCGAGCGUCAUUUCGACCCUCAAGCCCUGCGGCUUGGUGUUGGCCCCCUACGGCGUUCGCCGUAGGCCCCGAAAUACAGUGGCGGACCCGACGGGACCCCGAGCGCAGUAGCAUCUGUUCUCGCUUAGGGCGUCGCGGCGGGCACCAGCCGUAAAACCCAUAGGCGCCUCCGGGCCCUAUAACCCACCAAGGUUGACCUCGGAUCAGGUAGGAAUACCCGCUGAACUUAA